UUAUCACUCAGGCUCCUGGUUAAACUCCAGCAUAUAGCUGUGUUUAACCAAAGCCUGAAUAUAAA
rfam:Cricetulus griseus cell line CHO-K1, whole genome shotgun sequence.